CUUUCCCUCUUUCUUCAGGCCUAACACAUGCAAGUCGAACGGUAACAGGAAACAGCUUGCUGUUUCGCUGACGAGUGGCGGCCGGGUGAGUAAUGUCUGGGAAACUGCCUGAUGGAGGGGGAUAACUACUGGAAACGGUAGCUAAUACCGCAUAACGUCGCAAGACCAAAGAGGGGGACCUUCGGGCCUCUUGCCAUCGGAUGUGCCCAGAUGGGAUUAGCUAGUAGGUGGGGUAACGGCUCACCUAGGCGACGAUCCCUAGCUGGUCUGAGAGGAUGACCAGCCACACUGGAACUGAGACACGGUCCAGACUCCUACGGGAGGCAGCAGUGGGGAAUAUUGCACAAUGGGCGCAAGCCUGAUGCAGCCAUGCCGCGUGUAUGAAGAAGGCCUUCGGGUUGUAAAGUACUUUCAGCGGGGAGGAAGGGAGUAAAGUUAAUACCUUUGCUCAUUGACGUUACCCGCAGAAGAAGCACCGGCUAACUCCGUG
rnacentral:rRNA from 1 species